rnacentral:rRNA from 1 species
CCAGCAGCUGCGGUAAUUCCAGCUCCAAUAGCGUAUAUUAAAGUUGUUGCAGUUAAAAAGCUCGUAGUUGAAUUUUAGGCCCGGUUGGACGGUCUGCCUUUGGGUUUGUACUGUCCUGACUGGGCCUUACCUUCUGGUGAGCUGUCGUGUUGUUUACUCAGCGCGGCAGGGAACCAGGACUUUUACUUUGAAAAAAUUAGAGUGUUUAAAGCAGGCAUUCGCUUGAAUACAUUAGCAUGGAAUAAUAGAAUAGGACUUUGGUUCUAUUUUGUUGGUUUCUAGGACCGAAGUAAUGAUUAAUAGGGAUAGUUGGGGGCAUUAGUAUUUAAUUGUCAGAGGUGAAAUUCUUG